rnacentral:lncRNA from 1 species
AGACGGCAGGAGCAGAAAGACUUGGAGAUGGACCCCACCGACUGCACACCACCCAAGUACAUCCUGCUAGGGACCCUGGAACAGCCACUGUGUCCCCUGCAACCCCAGAACGGUGACUAAAAGCCCCUGAAAGUGCUCACCGUGAGCGGCUGGUACCUGUCCCCUGGGAACUGCAAGAUGCACAGGACCUUGUGUACCUGUUUGUGAUCACAGCCGAGGACCAGCGAGGGCAGCAUCUCAGGGCCAGGAGAACCCAGAGCAGCCCCAGUACUGGAACGAGGAGCUGCAGAUGAUGAGGGACCUACCCAACAAGAACCAACCUGAGCAGCUGCUUCAAGAAAAAGCCAUGUUCAAGGUGCCUGAAUCCCCUGGUAAGUGAGUGACAGCCUCACAGCCUCAGGCCCACCUGGCUCCUGCUGGAAGGUUUUCUUGUGCUCGGGAGAGAAGUGAGGGAAGCCGGCAGUCCCAGCCCUGUCAGGUGCCCUGAAGGCCCGUCAGGUUUGCCCUGCAAGGCCUUCUAGCAUUCUGCUUCCUGGGAGACCAUCCCCCACCUUUCUCCGGCCUCUGAGACUUUGAGUCCUUGGGAGGAGAAGGCCCUCCUUGCUAUCUGGGCUGAGUGGCCAGGGCCAUCCAGCUUCCCACCCUCCACUGACUGCCAUGGGGCCCUCCCCUGAGCACAUGGUGCCCAACUGUAGCCCUUCUAGGGCAGGGGCUCAUUGGCAG